GAUGAACGCUGACAGAAUGCUUAACACAUGCAAGUCUACUUGAUCCUUCGGGUGAUGGUGGCGGACGGGUGAGUAACGCGUAAAGAACUUGCCCUGCAGUCUGGGACAACAUUUGGAAACGAAUGCUAAUACCGGAUAUUAUGUGAGUUUCGCAUGAAAUUCAUAUGAAAGCUAUAUGCGCUGCAGGAGAGCUUUGCGUCCUAUUAGCUAGUUGGUGAGGUAACGGCUCACCAAGGCGAUGAUAGGUAGCCGGCCUGAGAGGGUGAACGGCCACAAGGGGACUGAGACACGGCCCUUACUCCUACGGGAGGCAGCAGUGGGGAAUAUUGGACAAUGGACCAAAAGUCCGAUCCAGCAAUUCUGUGUGCACGAUGAAGUUUUUCGGAAUGUAAAGUGCUUUCAGUUGGGACGAAGUAAGUGACGGUACCAACAGAAGAAGCGACGGCUAAAUACGUGCCAGCAGCCGCGGUAAUACGUAUGUCGCAAGCGUUAUCCGGAUUUAUUGGGCGUAAAGCGCGUCUAGGCGGUUUGGUAAGUCUGAUGUGAAAAUGCGGGGCUCAACUCCGUAUUGCGUUGGAAACUGCCAAACUAGAGUACUGGAGAGGUGGGCGGAACUACAAGUGUAGAGGUGAAAUUCGUAGAUAUUUGUAGGAAUGCCGAUGGGGAAGCCAGCCCACUGGACAGAUACUGACGCUAAAGCGCGAAAGCGUGGGUAGCAAACAGG
rnacentral:rRNA from 1 species